CUUGGGAACAAAUGCAUUUUUUAUAUUUUUUGUGGCAGAAGUUGUAGCUAAAAUGCACGCAUAGGUGGUAAAGUCAAACCAAAGAGUAAAUACACCAGACAUGAACAUCACCAAAAAUACAUUUAGCAUGGAGGACUCAGGUCGAGGAGCCAGCUACACAGUGCCCUGUGACAACUACAUCCAUGUGGUGGAGUUUAGCCCCUUUGACAGUGGCUCAGUUGCGUCCCUCUUGGCGUAUUGAGGAAGCCAAUAUGUGGUUGUAGGCACCUGCCGCUUCCAGGAGGAGGACAUGGAGGUAGAGGGGUUGAAUUCACCACACUGCGUGUUUUCCAUCAUGCGUUAUGUAUGGAUUGCCUCGCAUGGAGCCCUGAGUCUCGGCUGGACAAGCUGACCCAACUCAUCAGAUGUCACAAAGGUCUUAUACAGAAACCCAGCCUAAAACCCCAAAGAGCGAGCAAGCAAGCAGGAGAGGGCGAGAGGGAUACUUAAGACCACACAGGACUCCAAUAAGACAGAAGAAAAACAUCAGAUAGGACAGACCCACCCUAGACUGUUGCAGCAUAGAUAUUGGGACUGAGACGGAGGGGUCGGGAGACACUGUGGCCCUGUCCCACGAUACCCCCAGACAGGGCCACCCACUUUGCCAAAGCACAGCCUCCACACCAUCAGAUGGAUAUCAACAGACCACCAACUUACUACCCUGAGACAAGGCGGGGUAUAGCCCGCAAAGUUCUCCCCCACCACACGAGCCCGAGGGGGCACAAGACCAGACAGGAAGAUAACAUCAGUGACUCAACCCACUCAUGUCAAGUAUAGCGAAACGAGCCUGGCAAGACGUGAUGCACCCCUCCAACUAACGACAUGGGAGAGCACUAGCAAGCCAUACUCACCCCCAUAAUAGGGUCAGUGGAGAGAAUCCCGGUGGAGAGAGGGGAGCUGGCCAGGUAGAGACAGCAAGGGUGGUUCAUCACUCCAAUGCGUUGCUGUUCACUUUCGCACCCCUGGUUUCAGACUACACUCAAUCGUAGGACCUACUGAAGAGAUGAGUAUUCAGUAAAGACUGAAAGGUUGAGACCGUUUCUGCAUCUCUCAUAUGGAUCAGCAGACCAUUCCAUAACAAUGGAGCUCCAUAGGAGAAAGCCCUGCCUCCAGCUGUUUGCUUAGAAAUUCUAAGAACAUUGAGGCCCGUGUCUUGUGAACGUCGGGAACGUGUAGAUUUUGCACUGCUGCAGCAGACCGAAAAGUGAGGCUGUUGACUUCUGAUCUUCAGAAACAACAUGAAGUCAAAGUAGAGUACUGGUGCCCCUGCCCUCACGACAAGAUCCCACUGCAACUACUGCACCUGUCAGUUCAGUUGGCUUCUGGUUUCUUUAAAACAAACCAUUUGUAUAUAGCACACUGACAGUAGGCACUUAGUGAAUGGCUUUUAUAUUAGCCUAAUCAAGAACCCAGCGCACACAAGGAGCCAGGGAACUGUCAUACAGUCUAUGGGAGGCUCGCACCAAAUGCAGCGUUUUGUUAAUUGUAUCUUCUGUGGCGAUGUAUGUGUGGUUGUCUAGGUGAUGGAGGGUCACACCAGCUACAUCAACCACUUAGUGUUUGAACCCACGGAGGGGAAACAAAUGGCUUCGGUCAGCGAUGACCAUACAUGCAGCCCUGUCCUUUCCUGCGUGGGAACUCUACUCCAGCCGGAGAGGCCACCUGUAGCAGCUAGAAGGAGGUCACAGCCUCCCACUGAGGUCAGAGUGUCUGCCAGAGGUCCCAACCUCUCUGGGCUCGGCUCCCAUUGUGUCUCAUAGCUUCCAGUUGGAUUUGCAGUAGGUAUGUUUCUGUUGUGUGAGAUGGAUUCCUCACUUCAGCCAGCUCUGGUUUCGUGUUGACAUGGAUCAGCAGAAUACAGCUUACUCAAGGGGCUUGAACAGAGACACCUGCUGCAACUAUUUGAUGUGCGAGAUCUACUCUGUGUGUGUGUGAUCUACUCUGUGUGUCAUCCUUUUGGGAAGUAUUUCUGAGGCGUUAUCACAACAGUUUGAGCCUUUCUCCCCACUCUAGCCCGUCAGUCAUGCUAUCUGUCAGUUAGUAUGUCCAUGUCCACUCUACAACAUCCCAGUCUUUCAUCUCCUCGUUUCUCCUUUUCUUCUCAUGUUCUCAAGCUUUUUUUGCUCCGUGCUACGGGAUCCCAUCAUCAACUCUAGCGAGAGGAGCAAACCGAUCCAAUAAAAAUGACUAAUGGCCGAGAUAAUUAUUUCAACAGUCCAAAUGUCUGCUAAAGAACAUGUUAUUGUUCAAGACACUUGAGCAGGUCUGAUCAAGAUGGAUGUUGGUGUGGUUUUGAGGAGAGGAGGGCGGCGUGCUGUGCUCCUCUGCCUGGACUCCCCUGUGAGGCUCUGAGGUGUGAUUACUGUUUGUCUUUCUUAACCCUCGUUCUGCCGAGAGUCACCAAGGUUAUUUACCCUGCACACUCUCAUAAUGUAGUUCACACGGUGCACACUACGUUUCCCAUUUCCUCCACCCAUUUGGAAACCGUUGACCAAAAUGAAAAGGUGCGGCUGCUGUUGUCUCACUCACAUCUACACACAGAUUUCAAAUGCAGUCUCGCCUUUCAACUCUAUUGUACACGAAGCCCAGUGUUAUUGCUUGAUGUCACGUCAGCUGUAGUGUUAUGCAGUUACACAGCGCUUUGUCAGUGGUGGUCUCCGUCUUGUUUCUUGCCCCCUUUCACCUUGUUCAGCAAGGAUUACAUUGAAACAUUUUUUAAAUAAGAAUCUUUCCCCAUUUGAAGGGCAAAGUGGUGGACCACAACUUGGCCGGAUGCGGCGUAGCGUGCGAUUGAACUCUGCUUGGCGAGUGGUCUGAGAAGAGAGGGUUUAUGCUUGUUUGUCUGCUGUGGUCUGAGGUUUCCAACCUCGCUCAUGCUCUAUGGAGGAGGGUCUGCCAUUCUGACUUCUGUGUUGUGUCAAGAAGCAAAAGCUCUCAUGGAGAAAUGUUUUAUCCCCUGCAGGGAAGACACAGGAAAAGUUGUUUGUUUAAUGAGGUCUUCAUCUGGGAUGGGGCAAAAUCAUAUCCUCUCCACCGCGACUCUGCAGACAUCUCUCCAACAUGUUUGACAUUUAGACAGGCUUUGGGUCUUUAUUAGAUGUCUUCUGCAUGACCUCAUCAGUCAACGCAUUCACAUCAGUCCCAACCAUACAGUCCUUUAAAAAACAUUUUUUAACCACUUGCAAGUUUAUUCCUCCCUGGUUCAGGGGAAUGUUCUGUUAGAUACGAGGCCUUGUAUUCGCUGAGGAGGGCUCUCAAAUGUGGUUGAAGAGUAGAUCCUGGUCUCGGGAGCAGCCUGUCCUCUCCAAAUGAUAUAUUACAUCCGGGCGCACGUUUGCCUUGUCCUCGGCCUUCUCGCUCGUCAGCGCAUGGCCCCGCCCGCCUGUCUUCACAGCUCAAGGGGGAGAUUACAACCAAGAUCCCUUUUCCCUGAAAGAAGGGCAGUGCUAGUGAGGCUCUGUGUGCGCAUCUCUUGGACAACUGACAGAAGUUAGAUAAAUUACACACAGGCAUUACGUGCUUUCAUAAAAACACUGGCAUCACUACAGGCCUGGUGUGUGCUGCUCACUCAUUAGAGUACAUUCCCGAAGAGAGUCUCACAGACGCCUGGGGAAAGAUGGGUUUGGAUGGAAGCUUGUAACUUUUUUGACAUGGAUCCUGUGAGACAAAAACAGCCAGCCAGCCAGCCAUGAUGUCUUUGUUGUUUUUCAUAUUUUUAGCUGCCAUUAGCGUGUGUAAUCCUUUGUUUUGUGUGCUGUCAGCACCAAGGCGUCUGCUUGAGCUGUGCUGCGCGUCAUCUCCUCUCCCCACACAGGGGGUGGCUGGACUCCGGAAGCUAUUUUUAGCAUUGCCGCGCGUCCCACUCCAGCACAGCUAAUUGAGUGCUUAUUAAUUUUGUUUUUUUGGACUUGAUAAUUUCUCAUUUUUGACAGGACCUGUUUCAUCUGAAGCUUCGGACCGGGUUGUUUGUUUGAAUCGCAGACUUCCUGUCUGAGGUUGUUUUCUAAACGGGUAGUUGAGGACAGGAGAAUAAUUUUCUUACAGUUCUUAAACGGUUCAUUUCCCCUGAGCACACCCCCUCUCCCUUUCAUGCCAGAUGGCCUCUCAGUAACAGUGCAUUCCAGUUUCAUAAUGAGAGUUUAAAUAAUUAGUGAGAGUGAAAAGUUAUAGUGUGAGAGUGAAAAGAUCUAGUGUGGGAGUGAAAAGAUCUAGUGUGAGAGUGAAAAGAUCUAGUGUGGGAGUGAAAAGAUCUAGUGUGGGAGUGAAAAGAUCUAGUGUGGGAGUGAAAAGAUCUAGUGUGAGAGUGAAAAGAUCUCGCCAUACUAAACCUUGAUCCUCUGUAUAGCUGAUGGUGGCCGAGAAGAAGGGACGAUCCGCUUCUAUGACCUGGUUAUCCAGCAAGCCAUUCUUUCUCUGGAUUGCGGCCAGUCGCCACUCAUGUCGGCCGACUGGUGCCUCGCCAACACCAUCAAGGUGGGCGAGGUGACGGGCAGCGUCUGGGUCAUCUGGGAUAUUACCCGCUCCAGGUGAGUGGCAGGACAGAUGCUUGUGACCGACUGGGUUUGAAACCGGGUCUCUAGCACGCCAAAAUACUUUGUUAGCCCCAAGAGCUAACACAAGUCUUAAUGUCUCGGACAAGGUUACCCAUCACCUCAGUUACAUACUGUGUAACACUACCGUAUGAAGGCAUGGGUUUUGUUAAUAGUUAUUUGUCUGUUUGUAGUUACCCACAAGAGAAGAGGCCUGCCCAUGUAGAACGAGCAGGAAACUUCAGAUAACUGCUUUGUCCAUGCUUCCAAGGUCAUUUCUAUCUGGUAUCAUUGGGAUGUCCCUCCCACAUUGAAAUUGCUAUGUUAAAUGGUUAAGGUAAGGGUUUAGGGUAGGAAUGUCCCAAGGAUCCUGAAUGCUUCCAAUUCGUCUGACCUUCAGAGUAUUGUGAUGCAUGUUGUGGUUGUCCGGCUGAUACCGCUGCUGCAGACGACGUCCAUGAUAAUGGCUGUGGUGAUGAUGGUGAUAAUGGUGAUGGCAAUUACUGUAACCACGGGUGUCAUGGUCUUCCAGGUGGUCUCGGGUCAAUGAGAAUCUCUUCUCCACGACAGGAUGUCCAGGCAAGAUCAGCAGUCAGUUACUAGUGCAUCACCUUGGUCACCCGCAGGUGGUGUUGUUGCAGCCUGUGAUGAUUGGAUCAGCCACGGUGGGGGCAGGUCUAAACUGGCAGAGGUCCCUCCCACUCUGUGUCAUUGGCGGUGACCGAAAGCUCUCUUUUUGGAUGACAGAAAUGUAAUGCAGUCACUUCCUAUGGACGUAUUAGAAGUAAUGCAAAUGUACAUUGAAACUGUUUGACCCGAGGUGUGGUCGGAUAUUUCUAUUUUCAUCAUUUUUCAAUAAAGUAUUUAAUUGUC